AAUAUCAUACUUCACGUGAUCAUUUCUGUAGUUUCACAAACUUUCUACCUAAAGUAGGAGUCGAUGCAACCACGAUGAGCAGACGAAUCUCUUCUUUCCUGAGUGUAAGGACGACUCGGGAACUCUGUUUGUCUACAUUCCCAGUCAUCGGUGAUCGCUCACCUUCUGCACUUUGUGUGGAAGGCAUGGGAGGAUGAGCUGUCCGAGUGUU